rnacentral:miRNA from 1 species
CCAUAUUCACUUUCUCUCUCUCUCUCUCUCUCUCUCUCUCUCUCUCUCUCUCUCUCUUUCUCUUUCACACACACACACACACACACACGAGAGAGAGAGAGAGAGAGAGAGAGAGAGAGAGAGAGAGAGAAAGAAUGAGAGA